UACGGGGGGGGCAAGCGUUGUUCGGAAUUACUGGGCGUAAAGGGCUCGUAGGCGGCCAACUAAGUCGGACGUGAAAUCCCCAGGCUCAACCUGGGAACUGCGUCCGAUACUGGAUGGCUUGAAUUCGGGAGAGGGAUGCAGAAUUCCAGGUGUAGCGGUGAAAUGCGUAGAUAUCGGGAGAAACACCAGUGGCGAAGGCGACUACCUGGCCUGUUCUUGACGCUGAGGCGCGAAAGCUAGGGGAGCAAACGGG
rnacentral:rRNA from 1 species